rnacentral:rRNA from 1 species
UACGUAGGGUGCAAGCGUUAAUCGGAAUUACUGGGCGUAAAGCGUGCGCAGGCGGUUUUGUAAGUCAGAUGUGAAAUCCCCGGGCUUAACCUGGGAACUGCGUUUGAAACUAGAAGGCUAGAGUGUGGCAGAGGGGGGUGGAAUUCCACGUGUAGCAGUGAAAUGCGUAGAGAUGUGGAGGAACACCGAUGGCGAAGGCAGCCCCCUGGGUUAACACUGACGCUCAGGCACGAAAGCGUGGGGAGCAAACAGG